rnacentral:tRNA from 1 species
GGGGGUACGGCUCAGUGGUAGAGCAUUCGACUGCAGAUCGAGUGUUCCCCGGUUCAAACCCGGUAGUCCUCU